rnacentral:lncRNA from 1 species
UUUCUCAAUCAUCAUUCCUCUCCUCAAACAAAACCCUAAUCUGCCUCCAGGAUCUCAAUCUGUCUCUUCCGGAUCUUAAUCAACAAUCGACGAUCGAUAUCAGAUUUCCAGAGCAUAUUCAAAGACCAUCCAAAUCAAAGCCGAAUCUUCUCCACUUCUCUCAUCCCAAUCAUUGUUGCAAAUGCUCAAGAACGAUUCUUGCAUAUCAUCAAGAACUAUCCACAUAAUCAAAGCGCUCUGUUCUGUUCCGCUUUGUUAGCAAUUUACAUCUUGCUAUCUGAGGUUGGGUAUCAUGCUUGUGCGGGUUGUCCAUAAUUGGUUGGAAGCUAUUCAAGGAAUCAAGGGCGGAGGUUAAUGGUGGCCCGGUGGUGCAACACCUACACCUAUCUUUUGCGGGUAGUAUUAGUUUUACCAUUUCUUUUGUAGUGUAAAGUAUUGGAUUUUAGUUGUUAGUAAGAAUUACGUAACUUAAUGGUUGCCUAACCUUAGAUAUGGUGCAUGGAGGUUAUAUAAAAUACUAAUCUUACAAGAUGGAAAUGAUGAUAUAGCAUGGACACGAAAUUCCAAUAGUUCAUAGAGCUAUAAAGGUUCAUGAGUAUCAACAUAUUGGAGAAGUUUAUGUCCUUGCAAAAGGAGACAACAAUAGCUAUGGAGAUGACAUGUUUUUGUAUACUCAAGGCCAGAUGUGGUUGAAGCGGCAUCAUAUCACAUGGAGGGCAAUCUAAAGAAAUUUACCGUUCGUCAUAAUCAUAAAGGGGAGGCUUUUGAAGCGAUACAAAUGGCUAAGAGAAUCUUGACUGAGAAAGGAUCCAAACACGAGCAUAGAAGCGUGUCACCUCUAUCAAAAGUUUUAGAAUAAUGCAGUAGCGAGUAGGGAACUUUUGCGGCUAUUUGAAAGGUGCUUCAGGGCCGAGAACUAUGUGUAAACAACCAUGGUAAGUGUUGGUAAGGGCUGCCAAAACAGAUUGAGAACGCCAAGACAACAAUGAACGUUUCUGGUCUGAAUCGAGGUGUAUGAAUGACGGGUCUGUACAAACAACCAUGACUGUGAGUAUAUGAAGAAAAAAAGUGAGAGCUAGGGCUUUUUGUGCACAAGAAGGAGUUAUGAUAAGAAUGAUUGCACCUAAAGACAACUCAUAUAUUAGCAAGCAUGCCAGGUUCAACCUGAUAAAAUUCCUGAUGAUCCUCAAGCUAUCAAGAGAUAAUCGAAACAAUCCUUGCUGUGUGAAUAUGAAUACUUUUAGAGGAACAUAUGUUAUUGUACUUGUGUGUAGAUUAUUUUUUUCUUUUUUAUCAUUUUUUAUUGUUUUCAUGUUGCUUUAGCGGCAUGUAAAAAUUAAUCUGCUAAUAGUGUU